rnacentral:rRNA from 1 species
CCUACGGGAGGCUGCAGUGAGGAAUAUUGGUCAAUGGACGCUAGUCUGAACCAGCCAAGUAGCGUGAAGGAUGACUGCUCUAUGGGUUGUAAACUGCUUUUGUAUGAGAAUAAACUCCAGUACGUAUACUGCUUUGCAUGUACCUUAUGAAUAAGGAUCGGCUAACUCCGUGCCAGCAGCCGCGGUAAUACGGAGGAUCCGAGCGUUAUCCGGAUUUAUUGGGUUUAAAGGGUGCGUAGGCGGGUUGUUAAGUUAGUGGUGAAAGGUCGCGGCUCAACCCCGAAAUUGCAUCUAAUACUGGCGGACUAGAGAAUAGUAGAGGUAGGCGGAAUGUGUGGUGUAGCGGUGAAAUGCUUAGAGAUCAUGCAGAACUCCGAUUGCGAAGGCAGCCUGCUAAACUAUAACUGACGUUGAUGCACGAAAGUGUGGGUAGCAAACAGGAUUAGAUACCCGGGUAGUC